AUUAUGAAUAAUUUAGAUCAAUCGGUAUAAAUGCAUUUUAAUCACAAAUCUAAGAGAAACUUUAUAUUUCUAUGGAAAUAUCAUAAAACAAUUAACAAGGAGAAAAUUACCGAUACAACGAUAAAUUCUAUUUUUACGCUACCAUUCUUAAAUGAUAUUUUAUUGCCUCAAACAUAAUAAUCAAAAUUAUUACGAUAAUACAAUUAUCUGAAAGUGAACAAAACUUCAGAUAAAGUAAAUAUUUCAAAAUAAUUUCAAAAUAAUCGAAAUUCCAUACGUAUCGACACAAUGAAAAACCAAUGGAUUUCUACUAUCUGAUUUUACAAACAUUUAAUAUCAUCGCCUAAAAUUCCAUUAAAUAAAAUCCAAUUAAUAAGGAUUAAAGGACAGAUAUACAUUAAAUUAAUUUUCCAAACGCAAAUAUAAUUCUACACAUGUUGUUUUCGAAACGAAACAACAAAUAUUUCUGAUCGCAAGAGAAAUCCGAUAAUCGCGCAAACGAAACGCAUCGAGAGUGUGGAAAAAAAAUUCUCUGGACAACGGGAUGUGAUAAAAUUCGAAAACUUUGCUGCUCGUGAAAAAAAUGAGCGUAAUGACAGGAGAGCGACCCAGGAAUGCCGUUAACCGGUGAUCGCAAUUACAGCCCACGUUUAAUUAUAUAGAGAGAGGAUGUCUACAAGUGUCGCGAACCCGCGACAUUCUGCCUUGUUAAGCUUCACCUGGAACAGGAUUGUAAAUCGAUGCCUAAAUUACAACGAACGUGGGCUUGUUGCUUGGCCAUUAUCUCUAUUAUUUUUCAGAUUAGUUAUUUAAUUAUUUAACGAUCAGGAAUAGUGAAAGUAAGGACAAGUGAAUAAUGAUGAAUUAUUAAAAGUAAUGAAAGGUGUAUCGUAACCCUUUCGUGUUCAUAUAUUCUGGUGAUGGUUUCCACGGAAUACGAUUGAAGGAGAACUUUUCGAGAGGCCUUACAAAUACAACUCUUUGGUGUUCCAUUCGAAGCGCAUAACGUUCAAGGCGAAUUUCCAACCAAGGAUCGAAGAAGGUUGCAGUUUUCCUGACAAAUAAUACGUUUAACUAUCGGUGGAACACCCGGUAAUUUUCUCUCCACUUCACCUUGCACCAACCCCGUUUGUUAUUAGCGAUAUAAGCGUAAGGAAACGUUCGUUAUCGGUUCGCUCGUGCAAACAGGAUCACUCGUCUGGGAUAGCAUCUGCAUGCAAAUAAUGAAACGACCUGGCUCGAAGCAUCGAUUCGUACGAAUGUCUUGGAUAUCAAGGGUAUAAUAGUUGAAAAAAAAAAAAGAAAAUGUCCACGGAGCCAGUUUUGUAUUUUGUAUACAAAAGUGUGGAAAUUAUAAUUACUUAAGCGUUAAAAGUGGUUGUUUGUUCCACUAAGAAUGUUUUAAGGAAAGUUCGCAGGUUUGAAGAAGUUUGAUAGAGUUUUUGGAGCGUUAAAUACUUGUUUCCUUUUGUUAUAAGUUGUAGUUGGAAAGUGGAGAGGAUGAGACGAUUUUACUCAAAGGAUUGAUGGUCUUGGGUGAAACAAUGGGUAAAAGGUGAUGGGUAAAACUAGAGAAGAAUAUUUAUUACGUGAAAUGAAAUUAGGAAAAUUAAUGUGAUGAAGGUUAGGUUCUUGUUCAAAUUUAGUUUGUGGAAUAUUUGUUGUUAGGAUAGAAACCAGAGUGAAAUAAGAAAUAGAAUUCAUGCUGGGAAAAUGAUAGUUGAAAUCUAUUUCUUAAUUUGAGACUUUGAAGGAAACAUUGCGUUUUCUUAUUUAUUUUUAUUAUUAUUUUUUUAAUAAGAAAGACACAUUAAUUUAGAAUUAAUAAUAAAAUUAUUAGAAGAUUUAAUAGACAUAAAACAUAAAAGAUAUAUAGUAAAAAUUCAGAAAAAUAAGCCUGACGUGGCAGUUGAGAGUUUAGAAAAAUAUUGGUGAUUCAACGAUUCAAUGAAAGGUCAAGAAAAUAUCAAUGAUCCAAAAAGAAUGGAUUUUGUUUGGCUACUACUAUAUGAUAAACCAAAUAUUUGUCAAUUGCACUUCAAUUAAAUACUUUAGUUAAAUAUUUUUUUCUUUCUAAAUAUUUUUUCGAUGAAAUUCUCCUUUACUAUUUUCACGAUACAAAUAAUAUUAAUUUAGAAUAUAAUAUGAAACAGUAAAUAUAAUAAAUAUUUAUUCAAUAAUAAAUAUUCUACGAUAUCAAUAACUUGUGGCUUACACAUAAUAUGUGCACAUGAGCCAUUGUGUUAUUUUUCCAAGUUUUACCUUCAUGGAACCAAAUUCCUCCUAGUUUAUUGUUUCAAAAGUUUCAGACAGUUCGACUUUUCCAAUAAAGAAGAAACGAAUGUAAAUUUUCGAAAUAUUCAGGAAUAGCACAAAGGAGAAUAACUUUUGCAAUGUUCACUUCAAAGUAUCUUUAUUCUUGGUCCUCGUUUUUCGAUAUAGAUUUCUCCUAUGUAAGAGGCUAGUUAUAAUGCACUUUCUGUUUUCGCCAAUAUUUUUCUAAACUCGUAAAUGCCUCCUUUUAAGACGUCUAACCCUACUAAAAUUCUGAAAUACGCGAAUAUGGAAUCGUUUUGCGACUAUCCAGCAAGCGUAGAUGAUCUUGAGAAAUUAUUUCAAGAUCAAUGAUCGUAUUAAUGAAUUUUUCAAUAGAAGAAAAUUUAGAAUUAAUAUUGAAAGUUGAAUUAGAAUGUUGUAUAUCGAUUUGUGAUUUAUAUAAGAAAAAUCUCAUUUGUAUUAUAUAAAUUUUAUAUUUUUUGACUACGAUUCUAUUAGUCUUUUAACUGUCUCGUGUCAUUCGUCGGAUUGAUUUAUUUUAUUUUGUAUAUUUUUAUUCUAAUUGUUUAAAUACUAUCCCUUUCCAUCUGUCUGAUCAUAAUUGUCUUUUACUACUUGCACGAGCUUAAAUCUACUCGUUUUAAUGUGAAAUUCUUUUUCCAAUUUUUAUCAUGCUUGUCGUUGACGGAAAAAUUGUACGCCUUCGCAGUUUUUUCACCUUUAACCCAGAUCCAACGUUAUUGUGCAUUUUUCCUUCAUUCCUACGCGUUUGUCUAUUUCCACGACUGGUUUCAAAGGAAUUUCGUGUUGGGGUUGAAUAACUCACGACAUUGUAUUUAAAGUUAUGUUAAAGAAAUUGUUCCUUAAAGAAGGAAAUGUAGAGUUGUAUUAUAAGAUGUAAAAUAAUAUUCAUUUCU